UACGUAGGGUGCGAGCGUUAAUCGGAAUGACUGGGCGUAAAGCGCGAGUAGGUGGCUGUUCAGGUUAGGCGUGAAAGCCCCGAGCUCAACUCGGGAACUGCGCUUAAUACGGUUCGGCUAGAGGACGGGAGAGGGCGGUGGAAUUCCAAGUGUAGAGGUGAAAUUCGUAGAUAUUUGGAAGAACACCAGUGGCGAAGGCGACCGCCUGGACCGUUUCUGACACUUAAGUGCGAAAGCGUGGGGAGCAAACAGG
rnacentral:rRNA from 1 species